rnacentral:lncRNA from 1 species
AGAUUUGAAGGUGUUUGAGACUGUGAACAGUACCGUGAACAUUUUGAUGUUGGACGUACUGAGCCCUCGAGCGAGGAGGACACGGGCAGGCAGCAGGUUUAGCUGCGAGACUACUUAUUUCAGAUUUGCCGAGAUCGCGUCCAGGCUCUAGAGACUUUGGAAUCAGCGCUUCCGUUUUUGUCCGUAGGUUAUUACUUAACCUUCCUUGUAUGAU